AAUCGAACCCGGAGAUAGCUGGUUCUCCUCGAAAUAGCUUUAGGGCUAGCCUCGCAUUAGUUUACCGGAGGUAGAGCACUGAAUGGUCUAGGGGGCCUCACCGCCUACCGAAACCUAUCAAACUGCGAAUGCCGGAUAAAUGAUGUGCGGGAGUCAGGCCGCGAGAGAUAAGUUCCGCGGUCAAAAGGGGAACACCCCAGAUCGUCUGCUAAGGUCCCCAAGUACGCGUUAAGUGGGAAAGGAUGUUGGAUUGCACAGACAACCAGGAUGUUGGCUUAGAAGCAGCCACACAUUCAAAGAGUGCGUAAUAGCUCACUGGUCGAGUGAUCCAGCGCCGAAAAUGUAACGGGGCUAAAACGCGACACCGAAGCAGCGGGAUGCGUAAGCAUCGGUAGAGGAGCAUUGUGUGAGGAUAGAAGCCAGAGCGAGAGCACUGGUGGACUUCACAGAAGAGAGAAUGCCGGUAUGAGUAGCGAGACCCAUGCGAGAAACAUGGGCGUCGAAGGCCCAAGGUUUCCUGGGGAAGGUUCAUCCACCCAGGGUAAGUCGGGACCUAAGCCGAGGACUGAGGUCGUAGGCGAUGGACAGCAGGUAGAGAUUCCUGCACCACUUACACUUGUUAGACGAAGCAGUGACACAGAAGGAUAGGACGAGCGCGGUGAUGGUCAACCGCGUAGGCGGCACGAGGCUGGGGAGCAGUAAAGUACACUUCCCGUUAAGGCUGAGUGCUGACAGGACCGAAAAAGAGUAGGGAAGCGUCUGAGUUCACGCUGGCGAGAAAAGCUGCUAAGGAGAGUGUGAGUGCCCGUACCGGAAACCGACGCAGGUGGGCGAGGAGAGAAUCCUGAGACGGACGGGAGAACUCUUGUUAAGGAACUCGGCAAAAUGACCCCGUAACUUCGGGAGAAGGGGUGCCUCGAAAGAGGCCGCAGAGAAUAGUCACAAGCGACUGUUUAGCAAAAACACAGGUAUCUGCGAAAGCGAGAGCUGACGUAUAGGUGCUGACGCCUGCCCGGUGCUGGAAGGUUAAGGGGAAGUGUUAGGGGGAACCCGAAGCAGAGAACCGAAGCCCCAGUAAACGGCGGCCGUAACUAUAACGGUCCUAAGGUAGCGAAAUUCCUUGUCGGGUAAGUUCCGACCCGCACGAAUGGCGUAACGACUUGUGAGCUGUCUCAACAGGAGGCCCGGUGAAAUUGAAGUAUGUGUGAAGAUGCACAUUACCCGCGACUGGACGGAAAGACCCCGUAGAGCUUUACUGUAACCUGACAUUGGAUCUUGAUAACGGAUGCACAGGAUAGGUGGGACGCUGGGAGGUAUGGACUUUGGUCUGUACGGAGCGGACGUUGGGAUACCACUCUUCUGUUAUUGAGAUUCUAACCUCAAGCCGUAAGCCGGAUGAGAGACAGUGUCAGGCGGACAGUUUGACUGGGGCGGUCGCCUCCGAAAGAGUAACGGAGGCGCCCAAAGGUACCCUCAGAAUGGAUGGAAACCAUUCGAAGAGAGCAAAGUCAGAAGGGUGCUUGACUGCGAGACCAACAAGUCGAGCAGGUACGAAAGUAGGGCUUAGUGAUCCGGCGGUAAGAGAGUGGAAUUGCCGUCGCUCAACGGAUAAAAGCUACCUCGGGGAUAACAGGCUGAUCUCCCCCAAGAG
rnacentral:rRNA from 1 species